ACUCACAAAUGCUACACAGCCCUGAACACGUACCCACAAUUAAUGCUCUGUAACUGAGGAGCUCAGGAACUGUCACUGCAAACUCUACUGACAAAGGUCCAUGGAGGAAAUACAAGAUUUUGAAGAAAAAUUAUGGUAUAUGAGAAAGUAAAUAGGAUACAAGGUGACUUCAGAAUGUUGUCUGCCAGUUGAUGAUGAUCUGCAUCACGACUCUGCAAUUCUGGCUGAACAGACUUAGCACUGGACUGGCCCCCAGCAUGGUGUGAAAAUGCAGUUAUGGCUAAACACACACACAGGCUCCCAGGAGAAAUACCCUCACAGGAACAGGCUCAAGCACUGAUUCAAGAUUCCCUCUCUGGGGAGCUGGCACCUCCCAGAUUUGCUUGCAAGGCUGAAUAAACAAAAAUUGUUCAACAUCUGAUCAAUAAAGCAUUGCUUAAAUCUGUAGCAUAAAACCUUCUACUGAAGAGGAACACAGAACAAAGAUUAGCACAAAAAGUGAAAUAUGAAUUAACUUUAAUUGCCAAAAGGUCACAGUUUAAAGCUUCAAAAUGUAC